rnacentral:rRNA from 1 species
AGGUAAGCUACUAAGAGCGAACGGUGGAUGCCUUGGCUAGUAGAGGCGAUGAAAGACGUGCCAGACUGCGAUAAGUCUCGGGGAGCCGUCAAGGGGCUUUGAUCCGGGAAUUUCUGAAUGGGGCAACCCAGUUAAGCGCGAGCUUAACUACCUAAUAUGGAGCGAACGAGGGGAAUUGAAACAUCUUAGUACCCUCAGGAAAAGAAAUCAAAAGAGAUUACGCUAGUAGCGGCGAGCGAACGCGUAAGAGGGCAAACCACUAGUUUACUAGUGGGGUUGUAGGACCGCAACAUAGACUAGGAUCUGAUAAUAGAACAAUCUGGAAAGGUUAGGCAUAGAGGGUGAUACUCCCGUAUAUGAAAGCUUUAUUUUACUUAGCAGUAUCCUGAGUAGGGCGGAACACGUGAUAUUCUGUCUGAAUCUGGGUAGACCACUAUCCAACCCUAAAUACUACUACUAGACCGAUAGUGCACAAGUACCGUGAGGGAAAGGUGAAAAGAACUGAGGUGAUCAGAGUGAAAUAGAACCUGAAACCAUUUACUUACAAUCAUUCAGAGCACGAUUCUUUAUGACGUGUGAUGGACUGCCUUUUGCAUAAUGAGCCUGCGAGUUGUGGUGUCUGGCGAGGUUAAGGAAACCCGGAGCCGUAGCGAAAGCAAGUCUUAAUAGGGCGUUUAGUCAGAUGCUGCAGACCCGAAACGAUGUGAUCUAUCCAUGAGCAGGUUGAAGCCGGUGUAAGAGCCGGUGGAGGACCCAACCGACGGCCGUUGAAAAGGCUCCGGAUGACUUGUGGAUAGGGGUGAAAGGCCAAUCAAACAUCGUGAUAGCUGGUUCUCUCCGAAAUAUAUUGAGGUAUAGCGUCGUGUAGUAGUUAUAAGGGGUAGAGCACUGAAUGGGCUAGGGCAUACACCAAUGUACCAAACCCUAUCAAACUCCGAAUACCUAGUGUGUAAUCAUGGCAGUCAGGCGGCGAGUGAUAAAAUCCGUCGUCAAGAGGGAAACAACCCGGACUAACAGCUAAGGUCCCCAAAUCUCAUUUAAGUGGAAAACGAUGUGAAGUUACUGAAACAACCAGGAGGUUGGCUUAGAAGCAGCCAUCCUUUAAAGAUAGCGUAAUAGCUCACUGGUCUAGUGAUUUUGCGCGGAAAAUAUAACGGGGCUAAAAUGAGUACCGAAGCUUUAGACUUGCACUUAAUCAUUUAUACUUGGCUUGGCUUUUGAGCGUCUUUAAAUGAGCUCGUAAAAAUAAAUGCUCACGAACUAUAUGUUCGCUCCGCUUUAUUUUUACGUCGCAACAUUUAAAUCCAUCUCAAAAAUCCUGUGCCAUCUUGAGUUCAAAUUUGAAUCUAAUGUCUUAGUCUAGAUUCUAUAAAUUUCAAAUUUCUUAGAAUUUUAAAAUUUAGCAACAAAAGCAAAAAGAUAAGCAAAGCUUUUAAGAUAAAGGCGAAGUAUUUUUGUCUUUAGGCGAGGCGAAUUUUAGCGAAGCAAGGGAGUUAUCGUUUGGAUAAUGAC